GGGGAUGGAUGCGGCCCGGUGGCCGUCCCGGUCUUCAAAAUCGGUGAGCGGUGGCGUGAGCCAGCGCUGGUGGGUUCGACUCCCAUGCAUCCCCGUCCA
rnacentral:tRNA from 1 species